rnacentral:rRNA from 1 species
GACGAACGCUGGCGGCGUGCUUAACACAUGCAAGUCGAGCGGAAAGGCCUCUUCGGGGGUACUCGAGCGGCGAACGGGUGAGUAACACGUGAGUAAUCUGCCCUUCACUCUGGGAUAGCCACCGGAAACGGUGAUUAAUACCGGAUACGACACGUCCAGGCAUCUGGUGCGUGUGGAAACUUUUUGGGUGGGGGAUGUGCUCGCGGCCUAUCAGCUUGUUGGUGGGGUAAUGGCCUACCAAGGCCUCGACGGGUAGCGCGCCUGGGAGGGUGACCGGCCACACUGGGACUGAGACACGGCCCAGACUCCUACGGGAGGCAGCAGUGGGGAAUAUUGGACAAUGGGCGGAAGCCUGAUCCAGCAACGCCGCGUGAGGGAUGACGGCCUUCGGGUUGUAAACCUCUUUCAGCACCGACGAAGCGAUCCUUUGGGGAGUGACGGUAGGUGCAGAAGAAGCACCGGCCAACUACGUGCCAGCAGCCGCCGUAAAAC